CAUUCCUCGCGCUCCCGGCCGCUCAGCUCGUUUCAAACGCCAGCGGCCAUCUUGGAUCACGGUAAUCACCGCCUCUGCGCGCUCCGAGUUAUACUCUCUGGCGCCAUCUUGGAUCAGGUCAGAGCCGCCUUUGGCCUCCCUCGGUGGUCCCGCAGUUUCUAACACCUGGAUGCUUCGUCGUCCCUGACUUUUUCUCUCCUUAUAAACUCUGCCUCCGUGAUGAAGCAAGAAAAUGAUGCUUUCGUUCUCCCUUUUCAUCUUGCGUCUUCCAGUGGCUCUAGCUUUAUCAGUACGAGCGUGAUCAAAUAAGCUGCCAUUUUGGGUCAGGGUAAUGGACGCCGAUAUCGCUUCCCAUCAACCCCAGAAGCCGGCGAGGAAUACGCUUUCUGGCUGGUGCUCUCUGCUCCUGUGCCAGCAGCCAGGUAGAAGGUUCAGUCUUAGAAGGUUUCUUCCCUGGCUUUAAAUUAAGUUAAAUUAAAUAAGUUACUAGUACAGUGAAGAAGGUCAACUAGAAGUGUGUCCCUUUUUCUGUCUAACUAAAGUCACACGUGUGGUCUAGGAUCCCGUGUCAUUUGUGAGGGUCUGGAAGGUUCAAGUGCAUCUUCCAGUCCGAAGCCGCUUGGGCUCAUCUGUCGCCAAGGCAGGACGAGGACGAGGUGAUUAGGCGGUCAGCUAAGGGUGACGUGCCGAGUGGAGCGAGAAACUUUCUACCCACAGUGGUCAAAAACCGAAGAGUGUUGGCUUAGACGGAAAACCUGUGUGCUGAGGAGUCUAAUCAGUUCCUUGAGAGUAAAGGAUGUUUCUGACUCAUCUCAGCAGCUCUGACUGCCAGAAGAAUCGGGCUUACCAUCAGGAGCAGGAUCGCGCUGUGUAGUCUCCAAGCUGGUGGCGUGGAAAGAAAGAGAAGGCUGCAGAGACUGAACAAACAGCAUGCACUGUGGUAUCCUUUAUUUAAAACCUGUGAGCU